UCGAUUAGUUUGAUCAUGGCUCAGGACGAACGCUGGCGGCGUGCUUAACACAUGCAAGUGGAGCGACGAACUAGGGCUUGCCCUAGGGCAGAGCCGCGAACAGGUGAGUAACACGUAGGUCACCUGCCCCGAUGACCGGGACAACCCGAGGAAACUCGGGCUAAUACCGGAUGUGCUCGUGAGAGGAAAGGAAGCUUCGGCCUCCGCAUUGGGAUGGGCCCGCGGCCCAUUAGCUUGUUGGUGGGGUAACGGCCUACCAAGGCAACGAUGGGUAGCUGGUCUGAGAGGACGAUCAGCCACACUGGGACUGAGACACGGCCCAGACUCCUACGGGAGGCAGCAGUGGGGAAUCUUGCGCAAUGCGCGAAAGCGUGACGCAGCAACGCCGCGUGGGGGAAGAAGGCCUUCGGGUUGUAAACCUCUUUCAGUUGGGACGAAGGUUCGCCGGUGAAUAGCCGGCUGGAUUGACGGUACCUUCAGAAGAAGCCCCGGCUAACUACGUGCCAGCAGCCGCGGUAAUACGUAGGGGGCAAGCGUUGUCCGGAAUCAUUGGGCGUAAAGAGCGUGUAGGCGGCCCGAUAAGUCCGCUGUGAAAGUCCAGGGCUCAACCCUGGGAUGCCGGUGGAUACUGUCGGGCUCGAGUCCGGAAGAGGCGAGUGGAAUUCCUGGUGUAGCGGUGAAAUGC
rnacentral:rRNA from 1 species